UCAUCUUGACCUGUCUGGCACCCUGUCAAUAUCUAUCGGUGACGGACGCGCCCGAAAGUUCAAGAGAGA
rfam:Strigomonas culicis Cont2015, whole genome shotgun sequence.